AGUCUGGUGCCAGCAGCCGCGGUAAUUCCAGCUCCGCAGGUGUAUAUCUAUGCUGCUGCGGUUAAAAAGCUCGUAGUUGGAUCUGCGUGCUCGGAACUGGUUGGCUCUCUGAGUUCAAACUGGUCUCCGGCGCUUUAUUGGCUGGUUUUCCCUUGAUGCUCUUAACCGGGUGUCUUGGGUGGCUAGCACGUUUACUUUGAAAAAAUUAGAGUGCUCAAUACAGGCGUAAAGCCUUGAAUAGUGGUGCAUGGAAUAAUAGAAUAGGACCUCGGCUCUAUUUUGUUGGUUUUCGGAACGCGAGGUAAUGAUUAAGAGGGACAGACGGGGGCAUUCGUAUUGCGACGUUAGAGGUGAAAUUCUUGGAUCGUCGCAAGACGGACGACUGCGAAAGCAUUUGCCAAGAAUGUUUUCAUUAAUCAAGAACGAAAGUUAGAGGUUCGAAGGCGAUCAGAUACCGCCCUAGUUCUAACCGUAAACGAUGCCAACUAGCGAUUCGCAGGCGUUAAACAACGACCUUGCGGGCAGCUUCCCGGAAACGAAAGUGUUCGGGUUCCGGGGGAAGUAUGGUUGCAAAGCUGAAACUUAAAGGAAUUGACGGAAGGGCACCACCAGGAGUGGAGCCUGCGGCUUAAUUUGACCCAACACGGGAAAACUCACCCGGCCCGGACACCGUAAGGAUUGACAGAUUGAGAGCUCUUUCUUGAUUCGGUGGGUGGUGGUGCAUGGCCGUUCUUAGUUGGUGGAGCGAUUUGUCUGGUUUAUUCCGAUAACGAACGAGACUCUGGCCUACUAAAUAGUGGGCGGAUUCUUUCUGUCCGCAACACUUCUUAGAGGGACAAGCGGUGUUCAGCCGCACGAGAUUGAGCAAUAACAGGUCUGUGAUGCCCUUAGAUGUCCGGGGCUGCACGCGCGCUACACUGAAGGAAUCAGCGUGCUUUCUGACCUUGCCCGAAAGGGCUGGGUAACCCGAUGAAAAUCCUUCGUGAUUGGGAUAGGGACUUGCAAUUAUUUCCCUUGAACGAGGAAUUCCCAGUAAGUGUGGGUCAUAAGCUCGCGUUGAUUACGUCCCUGCCCUUUGUACACACCGCCCGUCGCUGCCCGGAACUGAGCCGUUUCGAGAAGAACAGGGACCGUCGUUGAAGGGCCUUAACGGGCUUUUCUCUGAUAGAAACUGUU
rnacentral:rRNA from 1 species